GGAAUGUGUAUACAGUCCAUGGUCAAUUGGUGGACGAUACUAUAGGUUUUGCGGUUACUUCCCAGCUUCGUUGGUCGUUCCUCUUCAAUGUUAGUAAUUCUUUAACUCUCUUUUGUUGUUCAAAUAAUUCUUCAUUUAUCAUCUAAUUAUUCAAUUCUAAG